rnacentral:rRNA from 1 species
UACGUAGGGUGCGAGCGUUGUCCGGAUUUAUUGGGCGUAAAGCGCACGUAGGCGGCUUUCUAAGUCGGGGGUGAAAUCCUGGAGCUCAACUCCAGAACUGCCUUCGAUACUGGAGAGCUCGAGUCCGGGAGAGGUGAGUGGAACUGCGAGUGUAGAGGUGAAAUUCGUAGAUAUUAGGAAGAACACCAGUGGCGAAGGCGGCUCACUGGUCCGGUACUGACGCUGAGGUGCGAAAGCGUGGGGAGCAAACAGG